AGGAUGAAGGUAAGGUAAUACUUACUGGAGGUCCGAACCCACGCACGUUGAAAAGUGCGGGGAUGAGGUGUGGGUAGCGGAGAAAUUCCAAUCGAACUUGGAGAUAGCUGGUUCUCUCCGAAAUAGCUUUAGGGCUAGCCUCGAGGUAAAGAGUCAUGGAGGUAGAGCACUGUUUGGACUAGGGGCCCUUCUCGGGUUACCGAAUUCAGAUAAACUCCGAAUGCCAUGUACUUAUACUCGGGAGUCAGACUGCGAGUGAUAAGAUCCGUAGUCGAAAGGGAAACAGCCCAGACCACCAGUUAAGGUCCCCAAAUAUAUGUUAAGUGGAAAAGGAUGUGGGGUUGCUUAGACAACCAGGAUGUUGGCUUAGAAGCAGCCACCAUUGAAAGAGUGCGUAAUAGCUCACUGGUCGAGUGACCCCGCGCCGAAAAUGUACCGGGGCUAAACAUAUUACCGAAACUGUGGAUGAACCUCUUUAGAGGUUCGUGGUAGGAGAGCGUUCUAAGGGCGGUGAAGUCAGACCGGAAGGACUGGUGGAGCGCUUAGAAGUGAGAAUGCCGGUAUGAGUAGCGAAAGAAGGGUGAGAAUCCCUUCCACCGAAUAUCUAAGGUUU
rnacentral:rRNA from 1 species